rnacentral:rRNA from 1 species
AAAUUGAAGAGUUUGAUCAUGGCUCAGAUUGAACGCUGGCGGCAGGCCUAACACAUGCAAGUCGAACGGUAACAGGAAUCAGCUUGCUGAUUCGCUGACGAGUGGCGGACGGGUGAGUAAUGUCUGGGAAACUGCCUGAUGGAGGGGGAUAACUACUGGAAACGGUAGCUAAUACCGCAUAACGUCGCAAGACCAAAGAGGGGGACCUUCGGGCCUCUUGCCAUCAGAUGUGCCCAGAUGGGAUUAGCUAGUAGGUGGGGUAACGGCUCACCUAGGCGACGAUCCCUAGCUGGUCUGAGAGGAUGACCAGCCACACUGGAACUGAGACACGGUCCAGACUCCUACGGGAGGCAGCAGUGGGGAAUAUUGCACAAUGGGCGCAAGCCUGAUGCAGCCAUGCCGCGUGUAUGAAGAAGGCCUUCGGGUUGUAAAGUACUUUCAGCGGGGAGGAAGGGAGUAAAGUUAAUACCUUUGCUCAUUGACGUUACCCGCAGAAGAAGCACCGGCUAACUCCGUGCCAGCAGCCGCGGUAAUACGGAGGGUGCAAGCGUUAAUCGGAAUUACUGGGCGUAAAGCGCACGCAGGCGGUUUGUUAAGUCAGAUGUGAAAUCCCCGGGCUCAACCUGGGAACUGCAUCUGAUACUGGCAAGCUUGAGUCUCGUAGAGGGGGGUAGAAUUCCAGGUGUAGCGGUGAAAUGCGUAGAGAUCUGGAGGAAUACCGGUGGCGAAGGCGGCCCCCUGGACGAAGACUGACGCUCAGGUGCGAAAGCGUGGGGAGCAAACAGGAUUAGAUACCCUGGUAGUCCACGCCGUAAACGAUGUCGACUUGGAGGUUGUGCCCUUGAGGCGUGGCUUCCGGAGCUAACGCGUUAAGUCGACCGCCUGGGGAGUACGGCCGCAAGGUUAAAACUCAAAUGAAUUGACGGGGGCCCGCACAAGCGGUGGAGCAUGUGGUUUAAUUCGAUGCAACGCGAAGAACCUUACCUGGUCUUGACAUCCACGGAAGUUUUCAGAGAUGAGAAUGUGCCUUCGGGAACCGUGAGACAGGUGCUGCAUGGCUGUCGUCAGCUCGUGUUGUGAAAUGUUGGGUUAAGUCCCGCAACGAGCGCAACCCUUAUCCUUUGUUGCCAGCGGUCCGGCCGGGAACUCAAAGGAGACUGCCAGUGAUAAACUGGAGGAAGGUGGGGAUGACGUCAAGUCAUCAUGGCCCUUACGACCAGGGCUACACACGUGCUACAAUGGCGCAUACAAAGAGAAGCGACCUCGCGAGAGCAAGCGGACCUCAUAAAGUGCGUCGUAGUCCGGAUUGGAGUCUGCAACUCGACUCCAUGAAGUCGGAAUCGCUAGUAAUCGUGGAUCAGAAUGCCACGGUGAAUACGUUCCCGGGCCUUGUACACACCGCCCGUCACACCAUGGGAGUGGGUUGCAAAAGAAGUAGGUAGCUUAACCUUCGGGAGGGCGCUUACCACUUUGUGAUUCAUGACUGGGGUGAAGUCGUAACAAGGUAACCGUAGGGGAACCUGCGGUUGGAUCACCUCCUUACCUUAAAGAAGC